rnacentral:rRNA from 1 species
GAUGAACGCUAGCGACAGGCUUAACACAUGCAAGUCGAGGGGCAGCAUAAAAGUAGCAAUACUUUGGUGGCGACCGGCGCACGGGUGAGUAACGCGUAUGCAACCUACCUAUCAGAGGGGAAUAACCCGGCGAAAGUCGGACUAAUACCGCAUAAAACAGGGGCACCGCAUGGUGAUAUUUGUUAAAGAAAUUCGCUGAUAGAUGGGCAUGCGUUCCAUUAGGUAGUGGGUGAGGUAACGGCUCACCAAGCCGACGAUGGAUAGGGGAACUGAGAGGUUGGUCCCCCACACUGGUACUGAGACACGGACCAGACUCCUACGGGAGGCAGCAGUGAGGAAUAUUGGUCAAUGGGCGGGAGCCUGAACCAGCCAAGUCGCGUGAAGGAAGAAGGAUCUAUGGUUCGUAAACUUCUUUUGCAGGGGAAUAAAGUGCAGGACGUGUCCUGUUUUGUAUGUACCCUGAGAAUAAGGAUCGGCUAACUCCGUGCCAGCAGCCGCAGUAAGAC